CAACUACUCCCUCUGUCCCAAAUUUCUUGUCUUAGAUUUGUCUAGAUACGAAUGUAUCAAGUCACAUUUUAGUAUUAGAUACAUCCGUAUAUAGACAAAUCUAAGACAAGAAAUUUGGGACAGAGGGAGUAGUUU
rnacentral:pre_miRNA from 1 species